ensembl:lncRNA
GGAAAAGGGGUUGAUGCCCAGUGGGAUCCUUCAUGCUAGCCCAGUAGUAUCAGGGACCCCACCGCACAGGUCACACUGUGAGCUUUUGCAUAUAGGCUUUGUGGGUAAGACUGCCUUCACCUUGGCAUUCAGCCCAGGGUCCAGCUGACAAGGGAGGGCAUGGAAAUCAAGUACAAUGGGCACAGGAAUGAAAAAGGCAAGAAAGGCCUGUGUGGUGCCUCUCUGAGGAGGUGCUGCUGCUAAGUCACUUCAGUCGUGUCUGACUGUGCGACCCCAUAGACGGCAGCCCACCAGGCUCCCCUGUCCCUGGGAUUUUCCAGGCAAGAACACUGGAGUGGGUUGCCAUUUCCUUCUCCAAUGCAUGAAAGUGAAAAGUGAAAGUGAAGUCACUCAGUCGUGUCCGACCCUCAGUGACCCCAUGGACUGCAGCCUUUCAGGCUCCUCCGUCCAUGGGAUUUUCCAGGCAAGAGUACUGGAGUGGGGUGCCAUUGCCUUCUCCGUGAGGGGGUGCUGGCUACUCCCAAAGCGAACUUGUCAAGUAUGAGGCAGAGAGGGGAAAGGAGGGCCUUUGUUCCCUCUUGAGCAAAGAACCUACAAGAAAAUAUAAUAUGGUUAAAGUAAAUUUCUAUCCAACCAAACUUUGGGGGUGGGGGUAGUUUUUCUGUUUGCUUUCGCUUUUUUGUCCCGAGCUUUGUGGAAUCGGGCUUCCCUGGCAGACUCUUUACCAUCUGAGCCAUUAGGGAAUCCCUGGACCCAGGGAAUACCCUUGAUUUCAUUUAUUUCCAAGGAAACAACUGCACACACAUGGUUAAAAAUGAAAUAGAAAAGAAGGCAGCAGUUUCCCACUCCAUUCUUUUCUAACCACUUUCCAGGGGAGCAACCAGUUUUUUAAACUCUGCUUUCAUCGUGGAUAACUUUAUUCCUCUAAAUGAUGAUUAUACGAUGCCAUAUGGGUCCAGUUAUCUGCAACAAGAUGGUGACAAGCGCACUGCCCACACCUUUGGGAAUUCUUGAGCUCUAGCUCUGAGCCAGACACUGAGCACACCUCUGUGCCCUUAGGGGAGCAGGUAAACAUGCUCUCAGCUGUACCAGGGAUGUUUUCAUCUUGUCAGGUUAUGUGUGGUUGUGGGGCGGCCAAAGUAAGAACGGAGUGGGUGUGUUUUGGAUACCCAGUGACUGAAAACCCUCAUUGACAGGUUCUUGGCUCACCUUGAAUACUGUUUCUACCAAAAAGGCAAGAUAAAUGCUUCUCCCCCACUCCCAUUUAAUAUAAUAGUUUCCUCUGAUUGUUUUGAUAUCUCUCUGAGUGUCAAUAUGGACUCAAGGAUUUUUUAUAUAUCUACUGUGACUUAUCUGUGACAGUUGCUAUUUUUGAUGCUCAAAUUGUCCCAUAUUUGUUGUGCAGGUUUUCCUUGUACUUUUCUCGUCCAGGCCUGAAACUUUUAGAUUAGUGGGGAAAAGUAUUUAGAAAAUGAAAUCCACAUUCCAGAGUUGAUCGUUGUCUCUGGGAUGUUAGUGUGGCUUUUGGACUCACAGACAACGUAUUUUGAAAACUGUGAGUUUGAGAUGGGAGUGGUUGCACACAAUGUGAAUAUGCUUAAUGCCACUGAACUGUAUACCUUCA